GAAGCACGCUGGACCGCCGCUGGUGCAAUCUGGGAAACCAGGCACUGGAGGAACGUCCGGACUGCACAGGACAGCGCAGGAGCUAACGGCUCUCCACCGCGAGGUGAGGAUCAGAGCAACAGAGACGAGUCGGUGAAGGGGCAACCCCGAUCCGGGUGAAACGGGCAAUCUCUGCGCGCAGCAACACCAAGUAGGCCAGUAUCGAGGUGGUUCCGCUGAGCUGGCGGGUAGGUGGCAUCGAGCUGUUUGGCGACAAACGGCCCAGAGUAAUGGCGGUCAUGCCGGGGUUCGCAAGAACGCCGGUACACAGAAUCCGGCGUACAGGCGCGCUUCACAC
rnacentral:RNase_P_RNA from 2 species